rnacentral:lncRNA from 1 species
UUGUGAAAUUUUAGAAUUUUAUUUUAAAUUAGGUUCUUAAAACAAUUGGGAAAUACUUAUUUUAUCAAUGGCUGGUCAUCAAAAUACUUGUGGAAAGAGGGAAUGAAAUCGUUCUCUUUCUAUUUCUCUCUCUUCUCUCUCCUGCGACACAAAAACUAGAUCUAGGGUUUUCCUUUUUUUUUGCCUUUUGUGCUUCAUUGCCGGCGAUGGGUCAACACAUGGAAGCAAGAGUGAGAUCUUCCUCCUUUCCGGUAGUGAUGUGGUGUGGAAGAUCCGGUUCUCGAUGCAAUUAGGCGGCAGAUUUCCGGUAGUUUUGGGAUGGAUUCCAGUUGAUCCACGUUCUGGUUUAAGGACGCCAGACGAAUCAACGAAUCACGGAUCUAUCUUGUGGCUCAACUUGUCUGGUUCGAUGUUGCGGUUGCGGGGGAAGUUGAGAAGCGGCUUGGUGGGGUUCACUGCUUGUUAUGGCGAUUAACGGCGGAUCCUUCUGGAUCUGGGAUGGCUAAGCACGAAGUUCGGCUGGUGGGUGUUCGUAUGACCCAGCGACCUUAUCAGCGGUCGUGAUUGGUAUUCGCCUGACCGGUUUGAGGAUGGCUAGAUCUCAGGCGAGUUUCAAGAGUGAGUUCAUUGGAAAGGAGGGUUAGUUUUCGCAUUCUCUCUUCUUGCUAGGUUGGGGAGAUGAGAGAAGGGGUCUCGGUUUUGGCGGAUCUACCCUUUCUGAGAGGAUUGUUCUAGGUUUGAUUUAUUUUCCGACGCUGAUUUGCGGCGGAAGCGCUAACUCCAGUUAGGGCCUGGUGUCUGGAGCAUGGUUGCAAAGGAGUGAUCCUUGUUAGCGUCAGAUCUAAUGGGUGAGACUCGUUUUCCGGUGUACCGCUAGUUCUCAGAUCUCUUUUUUGGUGGGCUCCGAUUUGAGCUUUUCCUAUUUUGUACCUGUGUAAUUGUAUUGGUCCAUAAGCCAAAGCCCAAGUUUUGGGAUGAUUAAUCAAAUUUAACUUUGUUGAAAAAAGAAAAGAAAAAAAGAAAUACCGAUUAUAUCAAUCGAUUUUUGGUUCGUCCUACAUAUGUUAUGUUUUGCUUUAAAGUUCUUUAAGAACUUACUGCAAAGCUAACAAGUAUUUUUCUAAACUAUUGGUGGAGGUCCAGGGAGAGUACUUGAGG